rnacentral:lncRNA from 1 species
UGACAGUACAGGGUCCAACAGAGGCAAAGAGCUGGAAAUGCAGGGAAAGAAAGGGGAACAUCCUCCUCUUCCAGCGGAGGAAGCUGGGUGAAGAAAGGAGAAGCAUUGCGCUGGUGUGGGAAGCACGGGGCCGCUAAGGUUGAAGUGAGUGGAGAUGGGAGGCGGCGGGAGUCACUAGAGGCUAGGAAGAGAGGCUCACACUACAGAGGGCCUUGAGUGCCAGGCUAGGAAAUCCAUAGGGGAAGAAGCCAAGACUCAAGGAGUUAAGAACUUUUCCAAGGGUAGCUAUUAGCCAGGACUCAAACCUACAUACUUGAAUGAAUUUCUACAACCUGUUAUUGAAGACUAAGGAGGCCACAGUCGGAAAGGAAGUUGUCUGCACUGAGAACCGGGAGGGAUCCCUCCGUUGCUUCCAUGAGGGUGCGGGACUCAUGGCUCUGGGCCUCCAAGGCACCACGGCCUCUGGCUCCAUUCCACCCUCCCCGCGCUCUCCUCAAACCUCAGGCUUCCUUUUUCUGCCUGCUGCAGGGCUUCUCAGCCUGGGCUGGAUCCUGGACAGACAGGCCCAGGCAGGCUGUGCACUGUGACCUGGGGCCUUGCUGUGAACAAAGAGGACUUCAAGAGGAGAUGGCCUGGAGGAGUUCGCCUUUGUGGUCAUUUUGCUUCAGUCCGUGACAACCUGGCUUCCAUCAAACCAAUCAGCCCAUCACCCAAUACUAGCUGUUCCAAAUAUAAAUUGUUGUCUUUGUCACUUUGCGUAGUCACUCUCCUCUUGAAAUAUACACAUGUUGUGAAAGGACUCUAGAAAUAAAUCUUUCCUCAUUAAAAUUUUCUACACAUGCGUUAAUUUUUCCUCCCUUUUCAACAGCGGACCAGUCAGCAAAUAAUGACUGCCCUUGGUCAUCCCUGGGAAGAUAAAGGAUUAUUAAAAGAGGGCCCGGCAGCUUGCAGAUUACACCUGCUACAUUUGGAGUGGAAAGAGGCUUCUCUGUCAGUGCCCCUUGCCCCCAUGGAAAGACACUAAUAGCAAUCUUCAACCAUAAUUGUUUGGUCCAUUUUGUUCUGGACCAAGUUUGCAUAAGUUUUAAGCCUGAAAGUCAAAGAAAAACGAAAUCUUACACGUCAACAUGGCCUUUCCAUCACUUGAAAAAGGCACCCUCUCUCUCUCUUUCUCUCUGCCUCGUAAACACAGCGGUCUUGCUCAGAGCAAUCUUGAGCUCUGAGCUGUGAAGAAUUGCUGUAGGUAGGAAGAAACGUUGGCUCUGGAAUUCAAUUAACUGUCAGCAUUGCUGUUCGAGUCAGGAUGACUCACUCCUCUUCAGCAAAUGGGCAUGGGGGCUGUGAGCCUCCAAGAUUAAUGGUGAUUGAUAAGCCGCUGGAGCUCCAGGACGAAGCCUCCCAGAAUCCUUCCCUCACCCACACACGUUUUUACAUGAAAAUAUAAUAGAUAGUGGGAGAGGAUGUGUGAGUACAGAGGAGAUGCUGUCAAGAAUUUGCCUGUAUCCUUUUCUUUUAUAUUGGUAAGUUUCACUGGAUUCUAAGCUACUGAAAAGCAGGGACUAUGUUUUAUAUUUCUUUUCUCUCAGUUCAUGUCCAAAUUAAUGCAUCAGGUGAAAAGAAAGGAUGCUGUCUGAUACCCCAUGAGGUAGGUAUGAGGCCCAUUCUAUAAAUGAGGGGAAGCAACGUGCUAAUAAGAGAAAAAGCUAGGACUCGGUCCCAGAAAGUCUGCCAAGGGUGCCAGCUCCAACCGCUGCAGGUGCCGCCUCUUCACGAGCACGUUACGCCAUUUCUCUCUUUAACACGGAAAGCAAAAUGUGGGCCUGACUGUGGUGAGGGCAUGCUUUUCCAUUCUAAAUGGCAGCUAGCAUGCAUUACAUGUACAAUAUACAACAGGAAUACAAUACGCGGGAGAGAAAACCUUCCCUCCCCUUUUCCUCAGGCACCUGGCUGGUUCAGGCUCCAGUGGCUUGGUUUUGUCGCUGGUGUUGUUAGUUUCCCCCAGCAUCCCCAUUCAUUUUCCAGAAUCCUCUGUCCCUCAUUGUAGUUUUGUAUUUGCAGAUACAAUCUAGGAAACAAUUCAGAUGGGAAAAGAAAUCUUUUCAUGAGAAAGGAUAGUAAAAUUAACAGAAAGCUGGUUAAACUUACAAUUUCCUCAAGUAUUGAGAAUAAACAUGAAUCCAUGAGAAUAAAAACUCAGUAUGGAUUUGUCCACAACGCUUAGGAGGAACAUGUUAGAAGUGCCACAUGCAGGCCAGGCGUGGUGGCUCACGCCUGUAAUCCCAGCAUUUUGGGAGGCCGAGGCAGGAGGAUCAAGAGGUCAGGAGAUCAAGAUCAUCCUGGCUAACACGGUGAAACCCUGUCUCUACUAAAAAAAAUACAAAAAAUUAGCCGGGUGUGGUGGCAUAAGCCUGUAGUCCCAGCUACUCGGGAGGCUGAGGCAGGAGAAUCGCUUGAACCCGGGAGGUGGAGCUUUCAGUGAGCCGAGACGCACCACUGCACUCCAGCCUGGGUGACAGAGCGAGACUCUGUCUCAAAAAAAAAAAAAAAGAAAAAGAAAAAGAAAGAAAAAGAAAUGCCACAUGCAUGUAAGAGUCCAGGCAGGGUGGUCAAACUGUCAGAUGCGCAACAUUCGAGGGGCAAAAAGGAUGAAAUAAGAUGCUCUCUAAACGCAUGAGCAAGACCAGCUGUCAAAGCACUGGCGCCUUUAUUCACACAUUUUGUAAACCUCAGGUAGACAGGAGACAGCAGUAAGUACGUGACCUCAGCGCGUGAUCCUCAUUCAAACUGGAAUUCGAGUAUCACUGGUCUCAGCUGCAGACAUUUCAGAGUGGGUCCAUUUGCUCUUAGGAACUUCCAGGGCACCCCAGCACCACUUGUUUUUGCCUUUGUCUUUGCUUUCCUUCCCCACAUCCCUACAAAACCAAACAGACUUGCUCUCCCAGCUUCACAAAGAGAAACGGAUUCCAAGAGGAAAUCACUUCACAGCAAGUGAGCCCUGGGAAGAAUUAAAGACUGAGGAGCCCUUGUAAUGAGAUUAAGGGAAAAAUGCUUUUGUGCAUCCAACUCAGACCCGUCCUCAGUAUGCAGGACGCGAGUGGUGCCAAAACAAACAUGGGUAUUGUUUUGGGAAGGAAAAGGUUAACAAGCUAUGAAAACAAAAUUAGAGAUAUUUUCAAAGCAUGACCCUCAGCAGAAUGAGUAGAAUGCAGUCUACCCAGGCAGCAGCAUUCCCUCCUCACUUGACAUUUAUCCUGCA